ACUGCCCCUAGAGGCGCUGGAGCGUGGCUGCUGUUUCCCGUGUGUGUCAGUAGGUGGCAGAGAGGAGAGAGGCUAUGUCCACACUCGGAGUUCUGAUCUAUGAACAUCUGAAUAGAUUAAUAGCCUAAUGCU